GGCCUUCGGGUAUGACGAAAGAGAAAUUUGAUGCAUAUGUUUUCGUUGUUAUCUGACAUUAGUAACACCUUAUCAACAAUAGCUGUUUCCCCUUUUGGGCCUUUGUAGGUUACAGGUGUGUUCUUAUAUUGACUGCAAUUCAGAAGCCACAUGAUUUAGUUCACAUGGAAACAUAUGUAAUAAAGAGAUUUCAUCAUAAGUUAAAAUGGAAACCAAAGCAAAAACAUCAUAUACAUGAUAUUUAUACACAGACAGACAUCCACUGUACAUCUAAAAGACAAACAGUGGAAAUGAAUGCAGUUCCUCCAAGAAUGCUUUUCACAACCAUACUAGAGUCUAUCCCCAAUCUCCAUCUGGAAACAGAGGGUUGACGCCUGCCUCUGUAUUUGCACAUAAUUAUGCAUGUUAUACUUCACAAAUUAAUUUAACUUGGUUAAGUAAAUUCACCUGUCAGAUAAUUCCCUAUUGGGAGUGGCAGUUGUAUUUACAGGACUUUGCUUGUUUACAUAAAUGUCAUUAGGUCCAAUUAUUUCACCAGGACAAGCAAUUCCAUCAGUAUCUAGUAUCUGCAUCAUGGACAGUCUUGCGUGAGUACUUCAUAACAAAGAAUAAAAUCAGAAAAUUUGAGAAUUUGAGAACCAUUUUAAGCAUCAAUAGAUAACAAAGUGUCCAGUAAUGAAAAUGAUACAGAUACAUACAACACCCAUUAAAGGCAUAAUCACUUUUCACUGGCCUACCUUGUAUACAAUUUUUUUCUCUAGGAUCAAGAAAUACAUGAAGAAAAUAGUGUAACACAUCAAGAAUUUUCUAAUGAUAAACAUUAAAGAAGGUUGGUUUGUUAUGUGUCACUUUCACUGUAAAUAAAAAGGAUUGACCUUUGUUUCUUUCAUCAAUAAUAUCAACUAGGAUCUCUCUUAAGUGGAUGAAAAACACUUCAGUGAUAAAUCAUCAAAAAUAUUAAAUUCUGAAAAGAAACUAGCAACCUUGGUGUGACCAAAUAGGAAAUUACACCAAGUGAUUCAGGUGACACUAUGCAUUGAACAAUCAAAUGCCAAUGGGACCAUUGCUCCCCACUGUGGUCUACCAGUGCUCCUUACUGUGGUCUGAGUCUAGAAAACUAGGGCUCUUAUUACUGAACAGGAGGAGUACACAACACUUAUUUUGAAGCUGCAUUGACUAUAGAUUUUUUGCUAUUUGCUUGGAGAAAAUCCUACUUAAGGAGACUGCUUAUGUGACUGGCUGUGAGCAUGCUUACUGUUUUCAUGUAUUAAAUACCAUGUUGCAUCAAAACACUUAGGCAACAAUAUGGUUAUGAUCCAUUGAUUUCUAGUCACAAUAUUCAUGGCGAAGAUAAAUCUAAAUCUAACAUAUCUGAUCAUAGUUUUGUGCAUGCGAAUGAUAGUGGAUCUCAUUUCAUGAGAUUUGGAGAUUGCAGAAAGGAUGAAGAGGCUAUGAUCCUUAAUCCUGCACCUCGGGAUGGAACUGGUAUUAAACGUGUUUCUCGUGAUUUAGUUUCAAAGGUAGAUUCUGGUGCUACCUAUCGUGUGGUAUCUGGGUCUGGUUAAGCGGAGAUGCCUGCGAAGGAUAAUAAUAUGCAGGAAGAAAAUGGUGCUGCCUUUCAUGUGGUAUCUACCUUUGGCAGUGACAUCAUUUCUGGUUGUUCUUUGAUGCCUGCGAAGGACAAUAUCUCUUUUUGCAUUGAUUUAUAGAAUGCUUCUUCUGUGCAUUCUAGUACGUGCUUCGGUGUGUCUCCCUGCUGGUAUUGUUUUAUCAAAAAAAGGAUGGCUUACUUGCUAGCCAUGGUAAUGUGCAAGCUAAAGUUAUGGGUCACAAUCUUUUGGGUUGUGUUUCUAGUUCCACAGAAGAUGGUCGUGAAGCUGCCCACAUUGGGAACGUUUUGGGUGUUCGAAGUUCUGCCCCAUGCAAUGUUAUUGAUCACGCUAUUGACUCUGGUGGGGUUGCAAAUGAUGUUGAGUAUGGUCACCGUCUCAGUUAUGUUAUUCGUGAUGGUUAUGGGUUGCCUGCACCUACGGUUGUGGGUGAGCAUGCAGAUCAGCCAGCUCGUUCUCCCUUUGGGGAUAUUCCUCGGUCCAUAAAUUCUGGUCUUGAUGGUACUGCUCAAAUUAUCAUGAACCGAGAGACAAUGAUUGAAAAUCUUCGUACGGGCCCUGGCUCGAGAUCUACUACUGUUGAUCUUGAUGGGGUCGUCAGGAGUCCUGUAAGGGAGGUCUUUCCACCCUUGGUGGUUCGCUCAGAGCAUACUAUAUAUGGGAAUAUAGGAAGUCAACCUAUUGUUGGUUCCGGCAAAGGCAAGGAGAUGGAUGUUACACCUUGGAAAAAGAAAAUUUGGUGGUAAGAAUGACCUAGGAUCUACUUCAGGUUUUCAUAGUGAAGGUAUCGUAAGGGAGGAAAUUCCAUCCUUGGUUUCAAAGAACAAGAAUGGAAGCUUAGCUAACAGCUGUUGGGACUCGAGUAGGUCCUCAAACAUGUUAUUUGAUGCCAAAGGUGUUCAAAAUGGAGUGUUUUACUUUGAGGAGAUGGAUACUUUACCCACUGAAAUUAUUAAUGGUAAAAAAAUUAUCAAAAUUGAAAAGAAGUUGAUAGACUCAUGUCGGAGUAGGUGGGAAAACUGCUUAUUGGGUACUUCUUGGGCCGCUGACCCGAUUGGAAUUAUCUGAAAGAGAUGUUGAGGAAAAUGUGGAGGCUUGAGCAUGAUGUUGAAGUAUUCUCCGCUGAUGGGGGGGUUCUUGAUUUUUCGAUUCCGUUCUAGGAAGGAGAUGGAGGUUGCCAGUACGAAGGGACCAUGUUAUAUCAACAGAAAAUGUUUGGUGCUUCAAGAAUGGAAUCCAUCAGUUCAAUCCUCAUGGAAUCCAUCAGUUCAACCCUCUAGGCAUACUCGCCAAGCUGUGUCAAUUUGGAUCAAAUUGCCAAGGUUGCCAAUGAUGUAUUGGGAACCGAACAUUCUGUUUUGUAUUGCCUCUAGUGUUGGAAAGCCCAUCUUCAUGAACAAAUCAAUAAAAUUAAGAUCAAGGGCUGAGCCAAGGGUGUGUUUUGCAUUGGUCUUGACUGAAGUUUGGCUGGACAUGUAUGGGAAGGAUUAUAGGCAAGAGAUAGUUUAUAAGUUCAUACCCUCGAUCUGCUCUAAAUGUCGGAGGGUGGGCCAUAAGGCUGAAUUAUGUUGAGCAAAUUUAAGUGCAAAGGCUAGUGCAACAAUUGUUCUUAAUGGUGGUACUUCUGUUAAGUUACCCUCAAGGGAAGAGCGUUGGAACGUAGUCAAAGGGAGACAAUAGUUAGUAUAUAAACAGAGGGUGAAGGAAAAGCAUUAAUGGUUUUCUAACCCUUCCCAAUGUGCCAAGGGAGAAUAAUGUGCUGAUUAUCGACCACACUGUUAGUUCUCACGCUACGAAUAGUGUGGACUCGAAGGAUAUCAUUUCUAAUGCUUUUGAAAUUCUAGCCAAUGUCCAAGAGGAUAACCAUGUGUCUCUUAUUGAGAAGGCAAUUAGCUCUUAUGAAAAAACUACAAUCGACACUUAGCUUAACUCUGACAGCCACAAAAAGGCCUUCAGAACCUACCUCACUGAAAAACAACUAACGCUGUAAGGCCACAGUGUUAGGAAUUUACGGCACGCUUCUUACUACGCACUUGUCAACCCUGAUGCUCAAUGCUCAAUGCGAGUCCAGUCCUCCAACAGAGGAAAGAGGCAAGCGGUUCAAGCUCCAGCCAAAAAGAAUCCUCUGAGGCGGGCUGACUUCGGAUAUUUGUAUUGGACCAAAGGUUCGUUCUAUCCACGAGAAAGAUGAAGCUCGAGAAAGACUUGCCAUCGCUCCGCUAGAGCUGCUUAAGAGGCGUAUCACUAAGGCUUAGGCUUACUCGAGGUGUAUGGUCCAGUGAAAGAAAAG
rnacentral:lncRNA from 1 species